AAUGGCACUCACCCAUCUCUCAGGACCAACUGACCCAUGUUCAACUGCUGUUCACAAUAAUAAUCCUUUAAUAUCAUCAAGUAUCCAGGCAGUGUUUAACUUCUUCUGUUUGUCUCAUAAAUUGUUUUGUCUGUUUAUCUGAGUCAGGAUCCAAAUAAGGUCCUUAUAAUUGUGAUUGGUUUUGUAUCUUAAAACAUAAAGAAACUUAAAAAGAGCCGAGUUUUAAAACCACAAAAUCCAAAUUCAGGUCAGGUGACAUUUGUUUCAUUCUCAUUCAACAGAUAUUUAUCAAGGACUUCAAAUGCACCAGGCCUGUGCCCUACGCUGGGAUACAGUGAUGACCAAGAGCAUACCUAGAACCUGUGCCAUAGAGGGAAUCUGGUAUGGAACCAGAAAACGGGCACAGGAACCAAAUUUGAAUUUUCUCUGAAAUUCACAACCUUUCCCUGUUUAUGUAAUAAACCAUCCUUUUCUCACUGAUGUGAAAUGCUAUUUUUGUCAUAUAUUUAAUUAUCAUAUAUACACAGAUUUUUUUCUAGACUCCCUGUUGUACAUAUUCCCCUGGUCUAAUUGCCUAUUCCUAUACAUGUACCAUGCUGUUUUCAUGGUUGUUGCUUUAUAAUACAUUUGAUAGCUAGUAUUAUAUACAUAAUAUUAUAUGCUUAUAUUUCAAAUUUUUAUUUUGGCUAAUUUUAUCCUUCCAGUUAAACUUUAUUAUCAAGUUGC
rnacentral:lncRNA from 10 species